rnacentral:rRNA from 1 species
UAGUCAUAUGCUUGUCUCAAAGAUUAAGCCAUGCAUGUCUAAGUAUAAGCGUUUAUACAGUGAAACUGCGAAUGGCUCAUUAUAUCAGUUAUCAUUUACUUGAUGAUACCUUACCACUCGGAUAACCGUGGUAAUUCUAGAGCUAAUACGUGCCUUAAGGGCCACCUUUUUGGUGGUCUGCAUUUAUUAGAUACAAACCAAUGCCAGCAAUGGCUCCUGGUGAUUCAUAAUAACUUGGCGGAUCGCAUGACCUUGCGUCGGCGACGUAUCAAUCAAAUUUCUGCCCUAUCAAGUUUCGAAGGUAGGAUAGAGGCCUACCUUGCUAGUAACGGGUAACGGGGAAUAUGGGUUCGAUUCCGGAGAGGGAGCCUGAGAAAUGGCUACCACAUCCAAGGAUGGCAGCAGGCGCGCAAAUUACCCAAUCUCGAUACGAGGAGGUAGUGACAAUAAAUAACGAUGUGAGGCCUUUAUGGUGCCACAAUCGCAAUGAAGCGAAUCUAAAUCACUUCAUGAGUAACAAUU